GCAAUGGAAGCCCUAGGACACACUUAACAGAGUAUCUUGGAUGUUUUUAUAUUCUUAGCUACCAUUGCUGUGCCUGGCAAAUACGAGAGACUGUAUACAUUUUUAUUCAGUAUGUAGAUGAUUGAAUUAUAAGUUGUGGUUAAUUUCAUGGUAUUACCUUGUUUUAGUUAAGCUAGCUAUGGCCUUUAUAUUGAAUUCAAAACAAAGCAGUGGGAAUGCCACUUAGGGGUGUGGAAAUGUCAAAACUAUCAUCACCUGCUUUCAGCAGCCCUGGUGUGUUGUUUCGUGUCAGUGACAAGUAUUCUGGAAUGCAUUUGAUUUGUGCAAAGAUGUUCCUCAACUUUGUCUACCAAAAAGUAAUGUUUAACUUUGACUCUUCCUAAAGGGAGUUAUUUUAUUUUUACAGCGGGAUUGGACUCUGUUACCUCAAGUAAAGAAAAAAUGUUGGCGGCAGGAACAUUUCUAAAUGAAGUGUGUGGAGACUAGGAAAGCAAAUAUGGUUACUAUGAUUUUUGUAUAAUUGACCUUGCAGCUUUUUGCCUUCAAAAUAUAGUUCCUCCAUUUUAUGUAAAUUAGAAAAAAAUUUUAUCAUUUUUCUAGGAAUUUUAUUUAGCAUUCAAGUACUGGUAAGUUCAGUCAUAGGCCCUACAAAGGAAUUCUUUCAAGACAGUGACAGACAAUGGUAAUGACCUCAGAAUUCUCUCACUGAAAAUGUUUCUUGAUGUUUCAAAAAAAAUUACAACCAUCAUCAAAAAGGCAGCUUCUAAGAGGGUGCUUUAACUUGUUCAUUUAAUAAAGGACAUUUUUUGG
rnacentral:lncRNA from 1 species